UUUAUCAUCAACGACGGAGUAGAGGUCCUGUCAGGAGCACGUCAGGACGACCCUGACCAGACGAUGCUGACACUGAUAGUCCAGACCAUCGAAGGUACCGAGGUACAAGACACCGAGCUACUUCAUCAAUCGUAGAGGACACAACUUUCUUUUUCAAAGGAGUCCUUUUACCAUUUCUGUGACUGUGUUAUCUAAGUACUUCUUAUUGAACCUGUUGUGGAUUGUUCCCUUCAGAUGAGUGGUACUAAAGAUAGGAAAGUUGUUUUAAUUUCUAAAUUAAUUAAAGUUUAAUUCAAUUUAGAAUAUCGUCCUUUAAAAAUUUCAUUUUUGGCAUGAUAUAUGCUAUGUAUAAUAAUGCUUGAAGAAUAAUUACUUUUUCUUGCUAUAAAUGAAUGCAACUGGAAUGAAGAAUAUUUUUGUUCUUUUCACCAGGUAUCUUUUUCUCCUACUACAAAUAUAGAAAUAUUGUAAGUUUCAUUUGUUCCAUUAAUGACUGAGGGACAAAAGAGAUCCUUCAACAAUACUUUUACUGUUGGGGCUGCCCAGCAUUAAUAGGAAACCCUAUAUCCUAAAUGGAAAUGGUAAUGAUAGAAUUGGGUUUUGUAAAUGAUUAUAGCCUAGGACUAGCUAUCCAUUCCUAAACAGUCUUCUAACUGGCAUCUGUGGGGACAGAUCUCUGACAGGUAAUGGAGUAUAACUUUCCCCUUGUCAUAAGACAGGGUCCAGGAAAUAAAGAAAAGUGUCUUCCCAACAAUCCUUUGUGCAGCUCUUUUAUUACAUGGUCUCAGGAGAAAAACUAAGUCUUUGGAAAAAAUAAAAGAAAUGAAGACAUCUGAAUACCUUGGGUUGGAUGGAACCUGACAAAGAAUGAAAAGACUGUGCUUGCUGUGUUCCCGCACUUUCCUGGAAGCAGCUGAAAUUUUCUAAACUACUGUCCCCCACUUUGUCAGCUACCAGUAUCCCAUUUUGAGACCAGCUCUACCCUCCCCCUCCCCCCGCCUGCUUGCGCUUUUCAGCAGAGGCAAAUACAGUGCUCAGCAAUGGGGAUAUACUACAGGUACAUUAUAGGUAUAUAUAACCAGUUGUAAAAUGUGGUGGCCAAAAACAGCUUUGAGACACAUCCCUUUCUGACAGGUUGAACUCACUCCACACUGGACAGGAAAGGGUUAACUCCUCACCGGGACCAGAAGAAGCAACACUCCCAUAGCCCAACUGGGCAUGCUUCAGGUGUGGCACCAGUGUAAGAGCGAGCUCAGUCUGGGCUGACUGCCAGAGAGGAAGGAUGCUUCCUGAUGGCUCCCAUCCGGGAACAGUUGGAACACUGGACUGAGGCACAUAGUGGUGCUAAGACCCAGACAGAUGUCCAGUUACUUGUGGACACCCCAGGGAUGUCUGAGCUUCUGGGAUUUGUACCAGCUGAGGAAUCUGGAGACCCAGAAGAUGGACAAACUACCACCAGGAGUCCCACAGCAGGACAAAGCUGAGAAUGAGGAGAUGGACUAACCUUUGUCCUUAUGAUAGUCAGUCUGUUGCAGAUGGAUCCCUGCUGACUCAAUGGUAUUCCACAGGACUUUUUGUGACUUACAAUAUGCAAUAAAAUGGGAGACACACAGUGGGUGAACACUAUCUACUUCAUGCCUAUUAAGAACCCUCCCGGACAAGGGACAAUAUUUUAGAAAAAUUGUUAAAUCAAACACAUGAGGUUUUCUGCUCCUCUUGCAGAUGUUUUUCUGGGGGCUUCUGAUCCACCCUUUCCAUGAUAGCAGAUAACAUGCUGAAAACAAUUAUUGGAUUCAGAAAUGCUGAUAAAUAUUUAAACCUCUCAAUCACAAACAUGUUUUACAUUUUAUAGACAAUGGGAAUGUUUUGAUCCCAUUAAUUCAAGCCUGUCAUACUGAAGA